rnacentral:rRNA from 1 species
UACGUAGGGGGCUAGCGUUGUCCGGAAUCAUUGGGCGUAAAGCGCGUGUAGGCGGCCCGGUAAGUCCGCUGUGAAAGUCGGGGGCUCAACCCUCGGAAGCCGGUGGAUACUGGCGGGCUCGAGUACGGAAGAGGCGAGUGGAAUUCCUGGUGUAGCGGUGAAAUGCGCAGAUAUCAGGAGGAACACCAAUUGCGAAGGCAGCUCGCUGGGACGUAACUGACGCUGAGACGCGAAAGCGUGGGGAGCAAACAGG